rnacentral:rRNA from 1 species
GACAGAGGGUGCAAACGUUGCUCGGAAUCACUGGGCGUAAAGGGCGUGUAGGCGGGACAGUAAGUCGGGCGUGAAAUCCCUGGGCUCAACCCAGGAACUGCACUCGAAAACUACUAUUCUUGAGUGUCGGAGAGGAAAGCGGAAUUCCUGGUGUAGAGGUGAAAUUCGUAGAUAUCAGGAGGAACACCAGUGGCGAAGGCGGCUUUCUGGAC